CACAGAGAGAGAGAGAGGAGUGAGAGUUAGAGAGAGAGGGGGGAGGAAAAAGAGAAAGUGGGUCAGAUGGAGCAGUCAGUCCUGAGAGGAGGAAGAGGAGAGAAGAGAGAAAUGAGGAUCUCACACUGAAAUCUGGUGUACCUUGAACCCAGGGAUCCUGCUCUCUCUUACAGUGACCAGGACGACCUCAGUCACCCUGAGCCCUGCUCUCUGGGUCUCCAAACCCACAGGACAGAUUUAUUAUUUACUCGUCCGAGGCGCUUUGACAGCAGCUUCAGGAGGAACAGGUGUUUCUGCAGCUGAGGUGGAGACUGGAGUGAGGAGGGGAAUGCAGGGCAGCAGUAACCCAGAGAGCAUGCCUUCUGGCGUGGGUAGGACACCAGCCAUGCCUGGGCCUCCACUCCCAGAGCCUCCAGAGACACUCCACAGCCAGACAGACUCUUUCCUCACUGCUGCUCGGCUUGUCCGCAGAGGAUGGGUGGAGGAGGAGAAGAAAACAGGGUGGCAGAUUUCCAGUUUCAACCACUCAGCACAUCAUCCCCGUCUGACCAAGUCAGAUGGGAAUCAGGUUUCAAACCGUGCUGAGAUCUGUUUAAAGGAUCCCUGGAGCAGACGGGUUUCUGAUGCGAACAGCAGGAAGACGGCUGAAGACAGAGAGACAGACUUUGAGAAAAAGGCAGAUGAAGUAAAACAGACAGCUGAAGGCGUAUCCUCAGGUUACAGACAGGCAGAAAGACAGAAAGGCAUUGUGUUUAUCUGGACGUCUGGCUGUCGCAACAAAUGCAGGCAACCCCUGAGAUUUAAGGCCCCGAUACUGCCAGUCAUUGCUGAGAUGUAGACUAGAUUCUCAGGUGCACAUAAAGACCACAACAUGGUUAUAGCACUGGGUUCUUCUUUGCAACGAUAGUGGUACUUGAUUCUAGCCUUUAGUCAGACUGUGUUAAAUGGUGGUCCUUAAUGACAGUGUUUGUAUGGUGAAAUAUGUUGAUGCUGAUUUUGUUCUGUUCAUUAAAAUUCAAAUAUGAAGAAAUGCAA